CUGGUGGUUAAUGCAAUUGUAC
rnacentral:siRNA from 1 species